AAAAAUCGGCUUUCCAAGCCAACCUUGGUCGGCCAUCGAAAGCACCAACACUGUGAUGUCGUACAUGCGGUUGGAUGGUCGGAUGAUGGGCUACAUUUAGCUAAAAGCUUCCUUCUCUUCACAACUUCAUCUUCAUCUUCUUCAAACCCAAAACUCCAGUUAACUAAGUGAGUGAGAGGGGAGGUUGAGAGUAGAAAAUAGUAGAGAGAGAGAGAGAGAGAGAGAGAGUGAUGCACCAGAAUAGAGUAUACGUUCUGUGUGCGUAACAGAGGGGGGAAAUUUCUUCUUCUUGUCGAGGUCAGUUGUUUCUUCUUCUUCUGAAUUGUUUUGCCUUUAAUGUGUUAUGAUUACUUGUACACAAAAAUCCAGCUCUCAAAUUGUAGCAGUAAGCAUCUGUUCAUCAUCUAAUUCCAUUUCUGUUUCAUGUUUCCUUCUUAAACUUUGUAGAUAAUCACUAAGAUAAUGUGCUAGGAGUGUUAGAAUUUUAUUUCCAAAAGUAAAACAACUUUUAAACUCAAAACCUAACUUAACAAUCAUCCCUAUGCUCUGCAAGCACAGCUACUGUGAGUUGCAGAGAAGAAUUCUUGAAUUUCCAAUGUUUUCUUCGUGCAAUUUAGCUUCUGUCUCCUACAUUUAACGAGUAAAAUGGGUAUAAAUCUUGUUGAUGCAUGAUAUGAGAUUUUUAGAUACAUUUGAUGAUUAAACUGCUUGAAUAAAUUUGGUGAUGCUGCAUGUGUUAAGCUAAUGUGUGUGUGUCUCAUGAAAUGUGAUUUUUACAAAUUAAGAUGAUAUUUUUUAUGCAUGGAUGAAUAGAGUGAAUGGAUGUUGGUGAUUGAUGCUUAGAAAAUAAAGAAAGGAGAAAAAUAUUUUCAAGGAAUUGAACCGAAUGGUUCUGCUGGAAGCAUACGGCGCCAAGGUGCAGCUGCUGCUGCGUGUGUGCUGUCCUGCAACUUGCAGGCAUGCGUGGAACGUCUGGGCACCAGAACAGUUUAGAAAUGCUGCUCAGGCACGGGCUGAGUAACAAAAGAAAAAGGAAAUUUGUAAAAUUUGGAAUUAUGGAAAUUAUUUGAGAUAAAAUGGGUCAAUUAGUAAAGAUGAAUUGUUUAAAUUAAAAUGGAAAGAUAAAAACUAAAUCACUUAAUAAAUAAUUAAAAUCUCUUAGUAAUAUUUGGAUUUAAAUAUAAAAUUAAGAAAAUUCACAAGUUAUAAGAUAAACUAAAAUAUUGAGAAGAAUUAAGAUUUUAAUUUUCUAGAAUUAUAAUAAAAUAUAUGAAUUUAGGAAAAGAUAGUGAAGUUUAAGAAUUUAACCAAAUAAAAUGAAAGUAAAAAAUUUAAAUAAACACAGAAUCUAGUUUAAAUCUAAUUCACCAUAUUUGCUUCAAGGGAUAUUUGGUUUGCUUAUUUGUUCAAGAGUCACAAUGUUAUGGGUGCUGGUUUUUGGUUCCUUAAUGGGACAUGUAGUUUAGUUGUCCCUACGGAUUCUGUGUGAUUUGAUAUUCAUGUUUUGAGGCUAAAGGGCAUGAAUGAUGACAACAUGGAGAGACGUGAGAGAAUUAUAUUUGUAUGUUUGUAAGCAUUUGCGCACCCACCCAUGACUAGUUGAUUUCCCAUUUACCCUAUUUGGAAAUAAGUAUAAGUGGUUGCGCUCCUAGUUUUGCAAUCAAUGUAAUUUAAAUUAAGAUAAUAACUGAUCAUUAAAAUUAUGUCAGAAAAUGAGUUUGGUCUUGGGUGUGUGAGUUGUGUAAACCCAUUUAGUACAGUAUUGAGCAUCCUCGUAACAAUUUGUAGGAGAUGAACAUUUGAGUUGGAUAUGAAUAUUGGUUAUGGGAUUUGACCAUGGCAUUUGAUUAGAUCUGUUAAGUAAAUUGAGAACUCCUGUUUUUCAAGUUUUCAUCAAUGAAGAUUUUGAAAUAUAUCUGUGUUGCAUUAUUUCAUUCUAUCUUACUGAGUAUUAGAACUCACCUAAAUUCAACCCCUCCCUCAUCUGCAGAUUUAGAGGAAAACACUAGAGAGCCCUAUUUAGAUUCCUUUUGGGAAGUGUAGUUUGGAGCAUACUUCGUAUUUUAUUUUAGACUUAAGGCUAGUAUUUUGUAACUAAUUUAUCUCUUAUUUUUUAAUUUGAAAUGUAGAUAGCCUAUUGGGCCUCAGUAUACAGUCUUUUAUAAACUUUGUAUGGGAUGUGUAGUUCCGCUGCAAUGUAAAUACUUAUAUUAUGUCUGCUCUAUCACACAUUGGUGCCCCU
rnacentral:lncRNA from 1 species